rnacentral:rRNA from 1 species
AGAGUUUGAUCAUGGCUCAGAACGAACGCUGGCGGCGUGGAUAAGACAUGCAAGUCGGACGAGAUUUUUCGUUGUAGCAAUACGAUGGAAAGUCUAGUGGCGAACGGGUGCUUAACACGUGGGCAACCUGCCGAGAAGUGGGGGAUAGCUCGCCGAGAGGCGAAUUAAUACCGCAUGUGAUUAGAGUGGACAUCCAUUCGAAAUUAAAGUCGGGGCAACCUGACGCUUCUUGUGGGGCCCGCGGCCUAUCAGCUAGUUGGUGAGGUAAUGGCUCACCAAGGCUUUGACGGGUAGCUGGUCUGAGAGGACGACCAGCCACACUGGGACUGAGACACGGCCCAGACACCUACGGGUGGCAGCAGUCGAGAAUUUUUCUCAAUGGGGGAAACCCUGAAGGAGCGACGCCGCGUGGAGGAUGAAGGUCUUCGGAUUGUAAACUCCUGUCAUUGGGGAACAAUGCGUGAUGGUUAACUGCCGUCGCGUUGAUAGUACCCGAAGAGGAAGAGACGGCUAACUCUGUGCCAGCAGCCGCGGUAAUACAGAGGUCUCAAGCGUUGUUCGGAUUCAUUGGGCGUAAAGGGUGCGUAGGCGGCGCGGUAAGUCGGGUGUGAAAUCUCGGAGCUUAACUCCGAAACUGCAUUCGAUACUGCCGUGCUCGAGGACUGGAGAGGAGACUGGAAUUUACGGUGUAGCGGUGAAAUGCGUAGAUAUCGUAAGGAAGACCAGUGGCGAAGGCGGGUCUCUGGACAGUUCCUGACGCUGAGGCACGAAGGUCAGGGGAGCAAACGGGAUUAGAUACCCCAGUAGUCC